GUGACACACGGAGGUAGUGACAAUAAAUAUCAAUGCGGAACCUUUUAGGUUUUGCAAUUGGAAUGAGAACAAUUUAAAUCCCUUAUCGAGUAUCAAUUGGAGGGCAAGUCUGGUGCCAGCAGCCGCGGUAAUUCCAGCUCCAAUAGCGUAUAUUAAAGUUGUUGCAGUUAAAAAGCUCGUAGUUGGAUUUCUGGCAGGAGCGACCGGUCACACACUCUGUGUGUGAACUUGUGUUGUCUCUGGCCAUCCUUGGGGAGAUCCUGUUUGGCAUUAAGUUGUCGGGCAGGGGACAUCCAUCGUUUACUGUGAAAAAAUUAGAGUGUUUAAAGCAGGCUUAUGCCGUUGAAUAUAUUAGCAUGGAAUAAUAAGAUAGGACUUCGGAACUAUUUUGUUGGUUUGCGUUACGAAGUAAUGAUUAAUAGGGACAGUUGGGGGUAUUCGUAUUUCGUUGUCAGAGGUGAAAUUCUUGGAUUUCCGAAAGACGAACUACUGCGAAAGCAUUUACCAAGGAU
rnacentral:rRNA from 1 species